rnacentral:rRNA from 1 species
GAGUUUGAUCGUGGCUCAGGAUGAACGCUGGCGGCGUGCUUAACACAUGCAAGUCGAGCGGAGCACAUCAUUGGAAUCCUUCGGGAGGAAGAGGAUGUGGCUUAGCGGCGGACGGGUGAGUAACGCGUGGACAACCUGCCCUAUGCAGGGGGAUAACAUCCGGAAACGGGUGCUAAUACCGCAUAAGCGCACAGUACCGCAUGGUACAGUGUGAAAAGCUGAGGCGGCAUAGGACGGGUCCGCGUUGGAUUAGGCAGUUGGCGGGGUAACGGCCCACCAAACCGACGAUCCAUAGCCGGCCUGAGAGGGUGGACGGCCACAUUGGGACUGAGACACGGCCCAGACUCCUACGGGAGGCAGCAGUGGGGAAUAUUGCACAAUGGGGGGAACCCUGAUGCAGCGACGCCGCGUGGGUGAGGAAGUACCUUCGGUAUGUAAAGCCCUAUCAGCAGGGAAGAAAAUGACGGUACCUGACUAAGAACGCCCGGACUAACUACAUGCCAGCCGCCGCCGUAAG